rnacentral:rRNA from 1 species
CGUACACUCCUACGGGAGGCAGCAGUAGGGAAUCUUCGGCAAUGGGGGCAACCCUGACCGAGCAACGCCGCGUGAGUGAAGAAGGUUUUCGGAUCGUAAAGCUCUGUUGUAAGUCAAGAACGAGUGUGAGAGUGGAAAGUUCACACUGUGACGGUAGCUUACCAGAAAGGGACGGCUAACUACGUGCCAGCAGCCGCGGUAAUACGUAGGUCCCGAGCGUUGUCCGGAUUUAUUGGGCGUAAAGCGAGCGCAGGCGGUUUGAUAAGUCUGAAGUUAAAGGCUGUGGCUCAACCAUAGUUCGCUUUGGAAACUGUCAAACUUGAGUGCAGAAGGGGAGAGUGGAAUUCCAUGUGUAGCGGUGAAAUGCGUAGAUAUAUGGAGGAACACCGGUGGCGAAAGCGGCUCUCUGGUCUGUAACUGACGCUGAGGCUCGAAAGCGUGGGGAGCGAACAGGAUUAGAAACCCCUGUAGUCCCAUGA